AGAUAUGAGAAUGUAGAUGACGUACGCAAGAAAUGAUUAAAAAAUAUUCAACCCCUUCGGCCUAAAAAUUCGCGUGUGAUCUAACCUAAACUGUGCCUAAUACGUAUUAUUGGACUCUUCUUGAUCUUUCCUCAUUUGGGUGUGAAGACUCCUAAAGUAAUUUUCUUAAUCCGAAUGGAAGGAGGUGUGAUACGAAAUAAAUUCGAAAGGCCGUUAAUUAAAAAUUUCAAUAAGACAUUCAGAAGGACUUUAUUUGAUUUACAGCAGAGUGUUUUACGUUCACGAAUCGAAAUUACAUUUUUAUAGAAAGAGAAAAAAAACAAAAUCUAACUAAGUCUACUACCCACAAUCUCACCAUUAUAAAGACCUAAGCCCAUGCGUAACAAUGACUCAAUCGGGAACUACGAUUAAGGUUUAUUUUGAUGAUCGCGGACACGACUCAAGCACGCUAGAAAAAUCCGGAAAAACACUCGCGGCACUUAGUAGGUGGCGAAACCCAUGGUAGGAACACAUGGCGGAUGUCUUAACUAAUCACUCAUCAAAUAAGAAAAACAAAACUUGCAAGGAGACAGCCCGUAUGACCAUGGAUUUUUCCGAAACUUAAAACCUCACACCCGCGCAGUUCCCGAGUUUUCCAAGGUCUCCUAUCGCCAUCGGAGAAAGGUGAAGAAGUUAGGCUCGUAAGAGUCGCUCAUGGUAUACUUUUAGAGUCCUAAGAAUUUUUAGAGUGUAGUCUCGUAAGGUUAGAACAAGAGUGACAUGUCAAUAUGGCAGCGGAACAGACUAAACUCAAGUUUUACAAAUCAAAAUUUACUGGCCAAUCAGAGCCGUCGACGGGAUCACGUGAACGGGUAUCGCAAGGAAGUCGCGUUCGUAGGCUCGUAUUUAUUCGGAAAUGCACUCCGGUCUAUAGUUUUACUUACUAAUUUUCUGGGCUUCAGAAUACAUUUGGCAGUUUCAUUUUAUACCAAAUAUUUAGUAGAGGUUAUAAUGCGCCGGUUGGGUGACAUACCCAUGAGGAAGAUUUAAUGCAAUGAGAAUUCGCUUUCUCAUUACGGAAACGGGGCUCGGUGCCCGCUAGUGACUCCGUUGCACAAUGGUCUCGGUCGUCCGGAUGGUGGCGGCCUCUCUUCAGUAUUGGCGGGAAAGGUUUAGACCUUCAAAUAAAAUUUCGUAGAUUUCCUCUUCGCUGGUAGGUUUGGACUCCGUGAAAAGUAUGGAAGAAGAGGAGAAAACGUAAAAAUAAAUAAAAAAUAAUAAGAGGUAAGGCCGAGAGUGUUUCCUGGUGAUUGUUCUGUGUUGAUGACCCUUGUUCAAACCUUCCACGUAGGCCUAGUAUUUUGGUGAGUUUACAAUUUCCUAAGGAGGGGUAGUUUUAAGUGACGGAUGCUAAAAUUAUAUCCCGUCACAAUUCCCCCUGCUUAAAAGGAAAUUACAGGUGGUUUAAAGUUUCAGCAAAUAAUUUCUGGUCAGACUUGUAAUUUCCGAAGUUAGUGGGUCGGUUCCAACCAUGGGCAGUCGAGACAACCUCCAAGAUAUUCUCGCCUUCAGUAAAAGAAAAGAGAAAUCAUAAAACAAGAAUAAAGAUUGUUUCACCGACAACUCCCGGUUGAAGAUGGUCAGUAAUAAAAAAAACUUAGAAGAGAGGC